AAAGAUUAAGCCAUGCAUGUCUAAGUAUAAGCAAUCUAUACAGUGAAACUGCGAAUGGCUCAUUAUAUAAGUUAUCGCUUAUUUGAUAGUACCUUACUACAUGGAUAACCGUGGUAAUUCUAGAGCUAAUACAUGCUAAAAAUCCCGACUUCGGAAGGGAUGUAUUUAUUAGAUUAAAAACCAAUGCCCUUCGGGGCUCUCUGGUGAUUCAUGAUAACUUCUCGAAUCGCACGGCCUUGCGCCGGCGAUGGUUCAUUCAAAUUUCUGCCCUAUCAACUUUCGACGGCUGGGUCUUGGCCAGCCGUGGUGA
rnacentral:rRNA from 1 species